UCCGGAACCCUCUCGCCGCCGCCCACGAUAGAGAGAGAGAGAGUUGAGCAGCGGGAGAGACGAGCUCGACCGCGCCGCCCUGUGCGCAGUCGCCGGAGAAUCUUCAGAUGUACACUGCGGGCAUGGAGUUCCUACUGGAUGCAGUUGACAGGUUCCCAAUAGGAGAGGAAUUCGCCAACAACCUUGGGCAGCCGGAUGCCGUUCCACUGCAUUUCCUGCUGGAGAAUGGUGGGAGGAGGGGAAAUGUGGAUGGUGCAGAUUCAGACGGUGGAUCUGCUUUGGCUGAGAAUGUUGGGGAGAUGGAGAUGGUGCUGCGGUAGUAGGGUCUCGCCGUAAACAUGCUGCUUCUCCGACGAGGUCAACACAGUCAAGUGACAGGGUGUAUCCGGAGGCGCCUGGCUGGACAAAACGGCUUCGCCUUGGCAGUGCGACGCCGGACAGGGUCCCAUGCCCAUCCCGGAUGAGUGCACUCGAGCUUUUGAUGCGCAAGUAUCCAGAGUAGCCUGACAAAAGUGUCGUGCGACCAGAGCUAGGCCUUAGCUUCGACUCUUUUGGCGAGGCAUACGAUUUCUACAAUCUGUAUUCGUGGGAGGUCGGAUUUGGAAUAAGAUACGGCAAGAGCCUUCUAAAUGCUGAAAGAACGAAGUGCAUGCAAGAAAUCGUAUGUGGUUCUCGGAGAAACCAGAGGUUGAGAACAGUAGGUCAUGUAGAUGCGAAUGCCCGGCGCUGAUCAGACUUCUACGUGCAUCGGAUA